UGCAUGGCAGACGGGUGAGUAACGCGUAGGGAAUCUACCUUUUAGGGGGGAAUAACGCUCCGAAAGGAGUGGUAAUACCGCAUGAGACCAGUGGCUGGGAUGCUGCUGGUGAAACCUGGGGACCGCAAGGCCUGGGGCUAGAAGAGGAUCCUGCGUCUGAUUAGCUAGUUGGCGGGGUAAUGGCCCACCAAGGCGACGAUCAGUAGCCGGCCUGAGAGGGUGAUCGGCCACACUGGAACUGAGACACGGUCCAGACUCCUACGGGAGGCAGCAGUGGGGAAUUUUGCGCAAUGGACGAAAGUCUGACGCAGCAACGCCGCGUGGGUGAUGAAGGUCUUCGGACUGUAAAACCCUGUCGUCAGGGACGAAGGUUGAGGGGUUAAUAACCCUUUAGCUUGACGGUACCUGGAGAGGAAGCCCCGGCUAACUCUGUGCCAGCAGCCGCGGUAAUACAGAGGGGGCAAGCGUUAUUCGGAAUUAUUGGGCGUAAAGGGCGCGUAGGCGGUUUGUUAAGUCAGAUGUGUAAUCCCCGGGCUCAACCUGGGAACUGCAUCUGAGACUGGCAGGCUAGAGUACUGGAGAGGGUGGUGGAAUUCCACGUGUAGCGGUGAAAUGCGUAGAUAUGUGGAGGAACACCAGUGGCGAAGGCGACUUUCUGGACUGUAACUGACGCUGAGGCGCGAAAGCGUGGGGAGCAAACAGGAUUAGAUACCCUGGUAGUCCACGCUGUAAACGAUGAGUGCUAGGUGUAGAGGGUAUCGACCCCUUCUGUGCCGCAGUUAACACAAUAAGCACUCCGCCUGGGGAGUACGGCCGCAAGGUUGAAACUCAAAGGAAUUGACGGGGGCCCGCACAAGCGGUGGAGCAUGUGGUUUAAUUCGACGCAACGCGAAGAACCUUACCAGGGCUUGACAUCCUCAGAAUCUUAAGGAAACUUAGGAGUGCCCUUCGGGGAGCUGAGAGACAGGUGGUGCAUGGUUGUCGUCAGCUCGUGUCGUGAGAUGUUGGGUUAAGUCCCGCAACGAGCGCAACCCCUGUGUUUAGUUGCUAACGCGUAAGGCGAGCACUCUAGACAGACUGCCGGUGAUAAACCGGAGGAAGGUGGGGAUGACGUCAAAUCAUCAUGCCCCUUAUGUUCUGGGCUACACACGUGCUACAAUGGCCGGUACAGACGGAAGCGAAGCCGCGAGGUGAAGCAAAUCCGAGAAAGCCGGUCUCAGUUCGGAUUGCAGGCUGCAACUCGCCUGCAUGAAGUCGGAAUCGCUAGUAAUCGCAGGUCAGCAUACUGCGGUGAAUACGUUCCCGGGCCUUGUACACACCGCCCGUCACACCACGAAAGUCUGCAACACCCGAAGCCGGUGAGGUAACCCGUAAGGGAGCUAGCCGUCGAAGGUGGGGCCGAUAAUUGGGGUG
rnacentral:rRNA from 1 species